AGAGUUUGAUCAUGGCUCAGGAUGAACGCUGGCGGCGUGCCUAACACAUGCAAGUCGAACGAAGCAUAUAAAGCGGACUUCUUCGGGACGAAGCAGUAUAUGACUUAGUGGCGGACGGGUGAGUAACGCGUGAGCAACCUGCCUUACACAGGGGGACAACAGUUGGAAACGACUGCUAAUACCGCAUAAGCACACAGUACCGCAUGGUACAGGGUGAAAAGAUUUAUCGGUGUAAGAUGGACUCGCGUCCGAUUAGUUAGUUGGCGGGGUAACGGCCCACCAAGACAACGAUCGGUAGCCGACUUGAGAGAGUGAUCGGCCACAUUGGGACUGAGACACGGCCCAAACUCCUACGGGAGGCAGCAGUGGGGAAUAUUGCACAAUGGGGGAAACCCUGAUGCAGCGACGCCGCGUGAGCGAAGAAGAAUUUCGGUAUGUAAAGCUCUAUCAGCAGGGAAGAUAAUGACGGUACCUGAAUAAGAAGCUCCGGCUAAAUACGUGCCAGCAGCCGCGGUAAUACGUAUGGAGCAAGCGUUAUCCGGAUUUACUGGGUGUAAAGGGAGCGUAGACGGUACGGCAAGUCUGAUGUGAAAGCCCGUGGCUCAACCGCGGAACUGCAUUGGAAACUGUCGAACUGGAGUGCAGGAGAGGUAAGCGGAAUUCCUAGUGUAGCGGUGAAAUGCGUAGAUAUUAGGAGGAACACCGGUGGCGAAGGCGGCUUACUGGACUGUAACUGACGUUGAGGCUCGAAAGCGUGGGGAGCAAACAGGAUUAGAUACCCUGGUAGUCCACGCCGUAAA
rnacentral:rRNA from 1 species